rnacentral:tRNA from 1 species
GGCCCCGUAGCUCAGCUGGAUAGAGCAACCGCCUCCUAAGCGGUAGGUCUUGGGUUCGAAUCCCGACGGGGCCGCCA